UCGUCCAGCUGCAGCUCUUGAAGUCGACUCAGGAGCUGCUCCUCAUUACGGCACACCUUGUCCUGUGCGUAGAGGCCUUCAGGCAUCACCCUCUGUUGACCCAUCCCCAUCAGAGCAACUUCCAGGGCCAAUGACAGGCUCCCUGCCCAGCAUAGAACUCAAUGCAGGGCUCUAACUCAUGACCCCGAGAUCAAGAGCUGAGCUGAGAUCAAGAGCUGGAUGCUUAACCAACUGAGCCACCCAGAGAGACAGCAUGCAAGAGCACAAGCAGGGAGAGCAGGAGUGGGAGAAGCAGUCUCCCCACCGAGGAGGGAGCCUGAUUCAGGGCUCGAUCCCAGGACCCCAGGAUCAUGACCUGAGCUGAAGGCAGAUGCUGAACCAACUGAGCCACCCAGAUGCCCCUGCAUAUUCAGCAAGAUCUUGAGAAAGACAAAGAAACGGGGUGAAGGAUGGAGAGUGGGAGGAUGAGAAGAACAGUAUGUGGUUAGUGAGAGCAGCCACUCUGCCAUCUGUCUGGGUGCUUGUUGUGCUGCCUCUUUAUUGGAUAAGCACUUAAUGUGUCUGUGACCUCUAUGGGAAGAACCUUUCUACAGAGACCUAUGGCUGCCUUUCCACUUUACAGAAGACCAAUUUCUCCUAGGACUGAGCGCCACAUGAAAAAGAAGAGGGACAGUGGUGCUCAGCUGCUCAAUUAUGAGGAUACCAACUGCUUCUACAGAAGUCAGAGGAAGAGAGAAGCAGCUGGGUAAUUUCCCUGGCCAAUCCAUAACCUGUCUCAUUUACAGCAUGACCCUUAUAAGACUAAGGACUCCAUGUAAUUGAUAUUAAAAGCUGAAAAAGAGCAGAUGCCCUGUGUAUUCUGGUCCCUUUAUCACAUUGAUAUCUAUAGGUUUACAGUCUUGUUCUCUAAUAUGAAAAACUGCUGCUGACAAAAGACUAAUUAAAUUAACAUGGACUCUUACCAUCCCAUCUCUCUUCAGGAAAAGGUCUGCAAGGAAACCAAAACAGUUUAGACAAAGUAGGCUCAAGGUGGUGUGGGUGGUGUGGAGGAAGACCAAAUGAAAGACACAUCAUCAUAAACUGUAGAGACAGAAGGACUCACGGAAAUUACAUUUAAGGAAAUAAAAAAACCACAAAGGAUUAUUUAAUUGACUCACUGCCAGAUUAAGGGCAACUGGAACUAUUUUGGGAUCAAGGACUAAAGUACUAUACAGAGAUGCCCAAAUGAGGUGUACAUCCACUGAGCCUGUGCAAAAAAAACUGGAAGGGAAAGCCAGGGGAUUCAGAAUGAACAUGAAAGAAAUGAACAUAUUCAUUCAUUAAGCAAAAGUCCUUAGAAUAUGUUAAUCUCUUCAGAAUUUGAUAUAUUACAUAGAGUAUGGGCUUAGAGGUUAACUUAGAAUAGCAUGACAGUAUCUACUGAAAUUUCUCCCUCAUGUUGUCCCUCAGUGGAAGCACAACGUACCUCCUACUGGCUACAGUCUAAACCCCUCUCUUGCUGAACUGAGACUCUACCUUGGGUCUGCUCAGCCCACAGUGGGGAUUAGGCUCCCAAUAUACAUCAAGUCUGCAAAUAAUGAGUACCUGCCUACACAUGGCCUACACAUUGUUCUAGGUGCUGAGGAUAUAUAAAAUCCCUGCCUUCAUGGAACUUUACAUUUAAAUGGGCAGAGACAGUUGAAUAAAUAUACAGUAUACCAGAUAUUUCAGAUGGUUAUGAGUGCUAUAGAAAAGACUAAAGCAAAAUUAGGGAGAAAGGUAAGCUGGUGUUGGGUGGGGGUUGUUGUUUUAUAUAGAAUGGUAUCUAAUAAGAUAACAUUUGAACAGAAACUUCAAGCCUUAGAGAUAACUAAGGGAAGAGCAUUCCAGGCAAAAGAAAUAGCAGAUGCUAAAAUCCUGAGGUGGGUACAUAUUUGGAGUGUUUGAGGGUAGUGAGGAGGCCAGUAUACUUAGAAUGGAAUGAGCAAGUAGAAAAAAUCAUAGGAGAUGAGGUCAGAGAGAUACUAGGAAGCCAGAUCAUUGAGGACCUUACAGGCCAUGAGUGAACGAUGAGAAGCCACCGGAGGGCUUUGAAUUGUUGAAGGUAUAUGAUGUGACCUGCUUUUUAAAAAGAUAACUGGCAGCAGUAUUGAGUACAGACCAUGAGGUGGAAGGGCAGAAGCAGGAGGGGCAGUUGGGAAGUCACUGCAAUAAUUUGUGAAAAAUGAUGGCAGUAGAGGUGAUAAGAAUAUAUGGAUUCUGUUGGACAGAAGACAUGAACAGACACUUUUCCAAAGAAGACAUUCAGAUGGCUAAAAGACACAUGAAAAAAUGCUCAACAUCACUCAUCAUCAGGGAAAUACAAAUCAAAACCACAAUGAGAUACCAUCUCAUACUUGUCAAAAUGGCUAAAAGUAAUAACAUAAGAAACAACAGGUGUUGGCAAGGAUGCAGAGAAAGGGGAAUCCUCUUGCACUGUUGGUGGGAAUGCAAACUGGUGAAGCCACUCUGGAGAACACUUUGGAGGUUCCUCAGAAAGUUAAAAAUAGAACUACCCUAUGACCCAGUAAUUGCAUUACUAGGUAUUUUCCCAAAGGAUACAAAAAUACAGAUACGAAGGGGUAUAUGCACCCCAAUGUUUAUAUAUAGCAGCACUAUCAACAAUAGCCAAACUAUGGAGAGAGCCCAAAUGUCCAUCAACUGAUGAAUGGAUAAAGAAGAUGUGCCACACACACACACACACACACACACACAAAUGGAAUAUUACUCAGCCAUCAAAAAGAACGAAAUCUUGCCAUUGGCAAUGAUCUGGAUGGGGCCAGAGUAUAUUAUGUUAGGUGAAAUAAAUUAGUCAGAGAAAGACAAAUACCAUCUGAUUUCACUCAUAUGUGGAAUUUAAGAAACAAAACAGAUGAACAUAUAGGAGGCGGGGAAGAAAAGUAAGAAGAGCGAGGGAAACAAACCAUAAGAUACUCUUAAUGAUAGAGAACAAA